CCUACGGGAGGCAGCAGUUAGGAAUAUUGGGCAAUGGAGGAAACUCUGACCCAGCAACGCCGCGUGAAGGAAGAAGGUUUUCGGAUUGUAAACUUCUGAUCUGUGGGAAGAAGAAAAUGACGGUACCACAGGAGAAAGCCACGGCUAACUACGUGCCAGCAGCCGCGGUAAUACGUAGGUGGCGAGCGUUGUCCGGAAUAACUGGGCGUAAAGGGAGCGUAGACGGUGAUGCAAGUCUGGAGUGAAAGGCGGGGGCCCAACCCCCGGACUGCUCUGGAAACUGUGUAACUUGAGUGCAGGAGAGGUAAGCGGAAUUCCUAGUGUAGCGGUGAAAUGCGUAGAUAUUAGGAGGAACACCAGUGGCGAAGGCGGCUUACUGGACUGUAACUGACGUUGAGGCUCGAAAGCGUGGGGAGCAAACAGGAUUAGAUACCCUGGUAGUC
rnacentral:rRNA from 1 species